AUUGAACGCUGGCGGCAGGCCUAACACAUGCAAGUCGAGCGGAGCGGCGGACGGGUGAGUAAUGCCUAGGAAUCUGCCUGGUAGUGGGGGAUAACGUCCGGAAACGGGCGCUAAUACCGCAUACUAUCAGAUGAGCCUAGGUCGGAUUAGCUUGUUGGUGGGUUAAAGGCCUACCAAGGCGACGAUCCGUAACUGGUCUGAGAGGAUGAUCAGUCACACUGGAACGGUGACACGGUCCAGACUACUACGGGAGGCCGCAGUGGGGAAUAUAAGACAAUGGGCGAAAGCCUGAUCCAGCCAAGCCGCGUGUGUGAAGAAGGUCUUCUGAUUGUAAAGCACUUUAAGUUGGGAAGCGGUACAAAAAGAAUAAGCACCGGCUAACUUCGUGCCAGCAGCCGCGGUAAUAC
rnacentral:rRNA from 1 species